CAACUGGCUGGAAAAGAAAGGGAAAAGAAUCAUGGAUUUGAUUUUGAUUCCUUUAUUGCAGGAACUAUUCAACUUAGUUCCCAACAUGAGCCUACUGAUGUUGUUGAUAAAUUAAAUGACUUGAAUAGCUCAGUGUCCCAACUAGAAUUGAAAAGCUUGAUAUCAAAGUCAGUAAGCCAAGAAAAACAGGAAAAAGGAAUGGCAAAUCUGGCUCAGUUAGAAACCUUGUACCAAUCUUCUUGGGACAGCCAGUGUGUGAGUGGUGGGGAG
rnacentral:lncRNA from 1 species